UAAGUCAGGCAAAACGAGUUUUCAUGUUGGCGUAUCCCUAUUUUCCCUCUUAUAUUCGAAAACUGUCGUUUCGGCUAUAAGUUAAACACGGUUUACGUAUUCCUAUGUCUUUUAAUACAUCCAAAUAUAUCAUUCGCUGAUAUAGACAAUCCAUUUUCGUCAGUACCAGGUUAUUGGAACAUGUCAACAUGUCCAUCUUUCAAUUUUUGAUUCUGUUGGUGUGUCUGUCCUUGGUUUGUUUGCUUUCUUCGGAAUCGAAUGACUUCAUUAUCAUUGGAAAAUAUGCCAAUCGAAACUGUAGGAAAAGAGUUUUUGGCUUUGCUUCUUCAUAAAAUAUCGUUG